UAUUAAAAAAUUCAUCCAUUUCUAUUGUUAAAGCUGGCAUGAUUGACAGAAUAACCAAACAGUGACACGUGACGUCCCACGCGUACCCCCUGUUGACGUACAUGAACUAAUUUUUAAUAGUAGAAAUGAAUAAAACUUUUAAUA
rfam:Gossypium arboreum cultivar AKA8401 contig_8280_5, whole genome shotgun sequence.